rnacentral:rRNA from 1 species
AGCGAACGCUGGCGGCAGGCCUAAAACAUGCAAGUCGAACGCCGUAGCAAUACGGAGUGGCAGACGGGUGAGUAACACGUGGGAACGUGCCCUUUGGUUCGGAACAACACAGGGAAACUUGUGCUAAUACCGGAUAAGCCCUUACGGGGAAAGAUUUAUCGCCGAAGGAUCGGCCCGCGUCUGAUUAGCUAGUUGGUGGGGUAACGGCCCACCAAGGCUACGAUCAGUAGCUGGUCUGAGAGGAUGAUCAGCCACACUGGGACUGAGACACGGCCCAGACUCCUACGGGAGGCAGCAGUUAGGAAUCUUGGACAAUGGGCGCAAGCCUGAUCCAGCCAUGCCGCGUGAGUGAUGAAGGCCUUAGGGUUGUAAAGCUCUUUCAGCGGGGAAGAUAAUGACGGUACCCGCAGAAGAAGCCCCGGCUAACCUCGUGCCAGCAGCCGCCGUAA